rnacentral:lncRNA from 1 species
GGAGAAGAAUCUGGCUGGAGUCGCAGCUUUCAUUCAAAGGGAAUAAUCCCACUCCUCUCCACAUUCGCCACGUAUGUUUUCUUAAAAAGAUUCUUUCAAGUCUGGCAGCUGAGACUCACAUUUCCGAUCCGGACACCCGUUUCAUAACCAGCUCAGCUGCUGACCCAGUUAAAUAAUAAUGAGCGAUUUUCAUAAAUCUAAACGUUCCCUCAGAAGAACCCAGUGGAAGAGGCUGCAGGGUGGUGCUUGGGGGGCCUGGCUGGAUGUGGGAGUGACGGGACAAAGUUGGAGUGCUCGUCUAUGGAAUCUGUGCCCUUUGUGUGGAAAACAAUACCUCCAGGCCUUGGCCCCUCCCUGUGAUGGGUGAGGAACUCGGCUUAUUCCUGGGGACAGAGGCCUGCCACCAGAGAGGCCAUAGGCUGGAGCAAGGGCUGACUCACAGGGUAGCGAGGAAACGGCCUGGAUCUUUGACCAGGGUAAGCAGUGUCUGAUUCCACUGCGGGGAGGAGGGAGAGGUUAUGACAAAGAAAGCAAUAACUAUUUCACUGAGCAAUUAAGUCCAUUAUUUCUCUUGAAAAAGCAUUCUCUUAAGCUGUUAAGGAGAAUUUAGCUCCCAUCUUGACAGAAUGUACUAAUGACUGCUAAUGGAUACAUUCUUUUAAUAAGUGAAGAGGCACAAGAAAAUUGCCAGAUAUUAAACAGAGUCCCGCGCGUCAUCUGAGUCUAUAAUGGCCCUAUCAAGUGACCCAAGCGAAAGAAAUGUGACUCUACAGGGGUUAAAGGAGUUUAUCUUUCCUUAGUGCUAUAUAAAUUCACUACUGGAAAGAACAGUAAUUCAUUGGUCUAUCCAGCAAAUGUUUAAAGUUUAUCUCAAGUUUAAUGAUGCAUUUCCUUUUGGUAGAAAGAAAAUAUGAAAUAGAACCUCUGUA